CCCUCAGCCACAUGGAGGGUUUACCUUCUGCAGACUCCAGUGGCUCAGAAACCAGGGAUGCAGGGCCAGGCUCGUGGGGUGCUGCAGCAGACGUGGGGAUUUUUCCUUCUUUGUGUUUCCCUGAAGAUGGGAGGCGCUGCAGGCCAAAGCAUUGAGCAGCCCAGUGAGUUGACAGCUGUGGAAGGAGCCUUCAUUCAGGUCAACUGCACCUAUCGGACAUCUGCGUUCAAUGGGCUGUCCUGGUACCAGCAACAUGACGGCAGAGCACCCAUAUUUCUCUCUUACAGUGUUCUGGAUGGUUUGGAGGGGAGAGGUCAUUUUUCUUCAUUCCUUAAUCGCUCUGCUGGGUACAGUUACCUCCUUCUGAAGGAGCUCCAGAUGAAAGACUCUGCCUCUUACCUCUGUGCUGUGAGAGACACGGUGACUAUGAGGCCUCCUCAGCUGCACCAAAAUUCAAAACGCAACCACAGCAGUGAGAAGUUUUGUUUCCCGAGUGUACGCCUGCUGUGA